rnacentral:rRNA from 1 species
CCUAUCNGCUUGUUGGUGAGGUAAUGGCUCACCAAGGCGACGACGGGUAGCCGGCCUGAGAGGGUGACCGGCCACACUGGGACUGAGACACGGCCCAGACUCCUACGGGAGGCAGCAGUGGGGAAUAUUGCACAAUGGGCGAAAGCCUGAUGCAGCAACGCCGCGUGAGGGACGACGGCCUUCGGGUUGUAAACCUCUUUUAGCAGGGAAGAAGCGAAAGUGACGGUACCUGCAGAAAAAGCACCGGCUAACUACGUGCCAGCAGCCGCGGUAAUACGUAGGGUGCAAGCGUUGUCCGGAAUUAUUGGGCGUAAAGAGCUCGUAGGCGGUUUGUCGCGUCUGCUGUGAAAUCCCGAGGCUCAACCUCGGGUCUGCAGUGGGUACGGGCAGACUA